rnacentral:rRNA from 1 species
UACGUAGGGUGCAAGCGUUGUCCGGAAUUAUUGGGCGUAAAGAGCUCGUAGGCGGUUUGUCGCGUCUGCUGUGAAAUCCCGAGGCUCAACCUCGGGUCUGCAGUGGGUACGGGCAGACUAGAGUGCGGUAGGGGAGAUUGGAACUCCUGGUGUAGCGGUGGAAUGCGCAGAUAUCAGGAAGAACACCGAUGGCGAAGGCAGAUCUCUGGGCCGUAACUGACGCUGAGGAGCGAAAGCGUGGGGGAGCGAACAGG